rnacentral:misc_RNA from 1 species
GCCAACAAGGGAGAUGGAGGGAGAGGUUCUGCUUCUCGUUUGCUAAAACAAAAUGGAGCUCUUACUAUUUCCUUGUAUGAGAGUACAUCACUACAAUAGUAGAGUUGGCCACCUCUCCUCUCGAAUUGAGGAUAUAUACAAAGAACAAACUCGUUCCUACAUUCUCAGAAAUAAAUGUAAAGUUUCUCCUCUAUGGAAUUUUGCAAUAUGUUACACUGUUCCAACAACUUACUUAAUUUGUCAGCUUCUUUAGCAGUUUUGCCAGCACACGUCGCUUCAACACCGGCAGUGUUUAGUCCCCUGGUUACAUGAUCAAUAUUAUCUGUGACAAACUGUGCAGAAGUCCUUUCAUUCUCCGUCAAGUCAUUUGUUCUAACAGCCCCCCAAACCCCACCGUUUGAGACUGUCCCUUGCAGAGGUUGAAAAGCUUCCAGCUGUGGCUGACCCCUUAUUGGUAGAAAGGGAGUACAGCCAACAAUUAUUUCAUCUAAAGAGGGUUGAUUUAUGUAAGGCAUAGCUACAUUUCCUUCUGGCACAAACUCAUCAAUAAUAAGUGGAGUCGGAUCAACAUGAUGAUGCCUUAAAAUAUAGGCGGAAGAGACUGCACCAUUGGAUAAACUUGUCAACCGCCAAUUAAAGAUCCGUCUGAAAACUGAGAUCCACUUUGGAAUAAUAUAGUAGCACGAGUCAUGGAGCUCAAGUCGAGCACUUUUUUGCAGCAUUACCUGUGCCUCUUUUAUUGCUAAGUUAAAUGUCAUCAUUCCACUUGAUUGAGUCAUGUAUCGGAUCAAGCAAUUCUCAAGUUGUGAUCUCAGGUUCUCAAUCUCUUCAACUGAUUUAGCACCUACACCAGACCAGGAUAUAUCGUCGGGAAAAGCAGGGAGUUUACAUUCCCUUAGCGCGGACAUAAGUGGUUCAAUUCUUGCUGCUGAGCUCCACCCUAUGCUUGGCAAGUACCACUUCACCACUAUAUGCUCAUCACAGGAAUCUUGUAGCAAAGAAAUCUCAGGACAAGGCCAACUGAUGGGGUUUGAUUUGGCAGCAGCAGAAAUUUCCCCCAGAGACCAAUCCAAGGAUUCAUUGAAGGCUGAAAUACAGUGAUUUGGAUCUAAUUCAUGAUCACUCCUCCUUUCAAGGACACCCAGCGAGGGAUUCAAGCGGGUUAGAAUCAGUUCACGAGUCCUUAUGCAGUGAAUAUCAGGUUGUAUGGGUGAUUCACUAGCCAGCCACUGUAGUCCUUCCCUUAAUUUUUCAUCACUGAAAAAAGCAUCGGAGUAUUCUGUCUCUUUAUCUCCAGCAAGAAAAACAACCAGAAAGCUACUUAUCCGUGAUUUUUCAAUGUCAUGGAGACCUAAUUCACUGACUAUAGUGGAGGAAGGAUCUUGAACCUCUUUAUUAUAAGAGCCACAUAAGACCAGGAGGGGCAAGCCGGAAUCAGAAGGUAUUGACAUGAGCAGGUUCUGAAACUGGGCUUUCUGUACGUUCCAUGGGAUGCUCUCAGAUACAACGUACAAAAUCGCACUUGCACCAUCUAUUGUCUCAUUCAAAUUACCAAAUUUAGCAUCCCUAACAACUGAUAAGCAACAGGUCAGGUCACUAACAGAUAGGCUGGGAACCCAUUUUUUCCAUAUUGACAUGCCAGAAGAUGAAAUUAGCAGAUCAUCAUCAUCAUCAUUUUUAGAAGGCAUGAUCUUUGAAAGCAACCAUGGGCCCACUGCCACCACUUUUUCUGCUUGAUUGUUUAUCUGAGAAUACAAAACGAUUUUCCAGCAUAGGCAUCUAACAGCAGGAUUUCUUUUGCCAAGUGUAUCCGCAACGACAUCAGAAACAUUGAGGCUUGACCAUGAUUGUUUAUGUUUUUCAUAUCUCUUCCUCAUAACAUGCUCAAUAUCAAACUCACCAGCAGUGCUCAGUUGAUCUUUAGCCUUUCGAAUUGGUGGUCCCAAUGACAAUGAACUCAGUGCAGCAUUUGCUACUAUCUGCUUUUGCUCACGCAAUUCCCUUUGUUUUGAAGCACGCCGCCUCCAUAAUCUGAUGAUCAGCUUGAGCUUUGCCUGAGCAACUUCUUCAUCAUCGUAAUUUUCCAUAGCUUCAUCAUUUUCCUUUUCUUCAUAUAUAUCAGGAGGUUCUUCAUCCUUUGUGUCAUUAGAAAACACAGGGACCUUAUCUUCCACAGCAUAACCAUAUUUAGCACUUGGGGAUCUCUCCUGCAAAGAGGUUCUUGACACAACUUGCAGUGGCACACCUUCCAUGCCUGAUAGCAUAUUCUUCUCAGCAGAGACGCUGGAAAGGAUAUCACCAUUUGGUUUCUCUACCUCAUUAAAUUUAGCUGGCAGAGAUACAGGGGGAUUAUGGACCGAAGAGAAGCCCCAUUUAGAGAAGUAGGCACCUUCCACCCGAUCUUCUUGACUUUGUUGACCAACUUUUGACUUAUCAAUUAUUGGCUCCAAUAGUGUACCAACUUUUGGAGAUGAAACAACUUCAAAAUCAGGCAUUUCUUCAUCAACUUCAUGGAUUAAACUCUUCCUCUCCACAAAAGUAGAAGCAACAGCUUUCUUGUCACGCUUGUGGACUGUUGGCAGCUGAAUUUCUUUGGAUGCUUGGGCAGUCAAGGAUACCACUUGAGAAAUAGGUGACACAUCAUCAACCAUCCUUCUAGAAAUUUUCAGAUGAACUAGCUUUGAACGCUUGGUAGGGUAGUCCUGGUCACCAUUGAGAAAUGGGCCUUCCUUUACCAUAUAUGGCUCUUCAAAUUCCUUUAUAAGAAACCCAUGAUGUUCUAAAAGGCUUUCAAUGUCUUCUUCCUCCAUUGCAAGCCAAUUGGCAACCUGGGCAACAGGGAGACCCUGAUUAUUUUGUAGACCACAGUGCAAAGAAGCGAGUGCCUGAGUUCGUAACUUUGCAAAGUGGGCAUGCAUUAAGCAUGAUUGAAGGUAUCUUGCCUUUCUUGCAAGUCGAAAGAAGGCAACAAAAUUACCAGUUCUACAGGCCCUUGCUACAUCACGAGCAAAUAGCACUUCCGGGGUUUGCCUUAUCUCUGGAGACAUCUUUGCAAGAUCCAGAGACAGCUCUGCAGGUUCAACUUUAUAUCCAGGAUGCUUGUCUAGUUUCAGAAGCGCAUAAUAACCACGAAAUUCUUGUUCUGUUGGAACAUUAAUUCCUUUCUUCCUGUGGUCAUCAUACAUUUGAAACAGUUCGACUGAAGUCUUGUUCAUCUGUUCAAUAUUUAGGUGUGCAUCAAAUCCCUCAGAAAAACCCUCUCCUUUCGUGUAUUCACACAACUCGUGCAUAGCAAUUAUAUGAAGCCGUAUCUGACAUCAGAGUUGAUCAACAGCAGCAUUUAGUCAACAGAAUAAUAAGAUCAUGCUCCAUGCAUAACUAAUGCACAUUGUCCAAUAAUAAAAAUGGCUCAACAGAUUUCAAUGCUGAAACAAAGAUAAAUCAAUAGAAACAAGUGUAACAAGAUGCAUUAGUUAGUUGGCCUAUCAGAAUAGCUCAAAUAUAUCAGAAUACUAGUUUAUUUGGCCUGUUAGCUAUCACAUAUAGGAUAUAGGAUAUAAGCACACGCCACCAGGCUAUUUAAGUUUCUUAAAACUCCAAUCUAACAAAAAAAUAGCAAUCAAUGCAAUUAAGCAAAUAAUUAUCAAACCAUAUAAAAUUGAAGCACAACAUUUUAUGUUCUUGCAGUAUUCAUUCAUUGCAUCACAAUACAAUAGUUGCCUUAUUGCCAGGGUAACAUUUUCUCAUGGACAAAUCAUUGUAAUAUUUAAAGUAUGAGGCACUAAUAUAAAUUAGCCAUUUUAUUACCAUCAUAACAUUUCUAGAGAUUUCAGCUUCAUAACAAUGCAAUGAACCACUUGGGCAUACUCUACCAUGCCAAAAUUAUCUUUAUUUUUUGAAAACCCCACAAGUAUCACCAAAUCCAUUUGUUCAGCCAAGAGGCACCUCAAGUGCACUUAAGUGAAUGCACAUUUCCAAGGCCCAAAGGACUAAAAGCACUUCCCCUGUUGGCGCCUUGCAAAACAUUGUAAACUAACCAACUUUAGCUGAUGUUUAUAGCCAUGGAGCCACCAUUUGCUCCAACAUGGUUAUUGCCUCCUGGUUGAAAAUGUGCUGCAUCCGCAGAUCCAUUCGGAUUGCUCUCAUCCUAUCCCACAAGAAAUUAUAUAUGCCUAGAAACCUAUCAUCGUAAGGCUGAUCUAGCAAAUUGAGCAGAUAAUCAAUAGUCUUCUGCAGGACAGGCAUUGGACGUAUAAGACUUGCUUCCCUCUCUGCUGUUCUAUUAUACUUCUUAACAGCAAUAAAUUUGUUUGUUUGAUUUCUAUCGCCAUCCAAGCGUUCAUACUGGUCAAGAUCCCCUUUCCUUUCUCGUUCACCCCUUUCUGACUCAGGGCACAUAUCUGGACACAACCCAAUAAUAACAGUGGAGCUUUCUAAGCCAUCACAAUCAGAAGAAAUAAUGCCAUUGGAGAAAUCCCCUGCUGAUUCCAUGGAGUGACUUCCAGCUAAUUUUUGCCUUUCCACUAUAGACUGCUCACGUCCACUUGCGGAAACCUUUUUUUCAGCAAUAUCUGGUCUAUUUUCAAAACUUUCACUUAAUUCUUCCUUAAAGCGAGCUAAUCGCUUUGCCUUGGCUUGAAUCUCUCGUUCAGCACCAUCUUGAUAGGAAUAAGAGUUUCCCUGAAAUGCUUUAUCAGGAGCAGGCAAUGGAGGUGACCUUGUUCUUUUUGCAACAGAGUAGUUGGUGGUCCUGGUGGGAGCAGCAUCAACAGCAACAUUGUUUGCAGUUGGAGAGGUUCUUUGAGGAAUUUGAGAAUCAGAUGUACUGGAAAGAACAUUUGACCUAGCACCCAAACUAGGAGGAGAUGUGGACGACCUUCUAGAUUCCUUCUGGAAAACUCCAUUUGCAGGUGAUAUAGGUGGUGACCUAGUUUGCUUUGGCACAUGGACAUCUACAACAUCAUUCAUAAAACUUCUUGCAGAACCAUGAGAGCCUACAAAUGGAGAGACUGGGGAUUGGUCUUGAUGAGCCAAUAGAUUGGGAUAAUCAUUCACCAACUUGUGCUGAUUAUCCCAUGGAGAUGGAGAUAAAGCAGGCCUUUGAAAGAAAGUUUGUCUGGAAUUUCUAGAAAUAUCUUCAUCAGAAGCUUGUGAAGGAGGUGAUCUGGUCCUCUUUAACUCAGGAAAUCUAGAAAUCUUAGCUGUGACACUAGUUCCAGAAUUCCGUGCAGCAACAAAUGAAGUGACUGCAGAAGGCCGCAGAUUUGUUUGGUCAUUAUCCUUGGAAAAAGAACUCUGAUCAUUAACCCAUUGAGAAGGCAACAAAGCUGGCCUGCGGGCUCCAAAAUAUGGAUAUGCAACAGGAUGGGUGCUUUCAAAGGACAAAGGAGGUGAGCGCACUCUUUCAAGAGCUUCAGGUCUCCUAGGAAUUCCAGCAGACUGGGAAGCACUAGCUGCAAGACUGGAGUAAGACAAUGGCGGUGACAGCACUCUCUCUGUAGCUACAGGACCCCUAGAAGCUCGCACGGGGCUAGAAUGGGGAAAGGGAGUUGAUUGAGGAGGAAGAGGAGAAGGGGAAGGAAGGCGAGCAAAGUUCCCAAAACGCGAUGUUUGUGAUGACGUCGGUCCUUGUGGUCCUGACUGCUUUCCGAACCCCGACAUUGCUGCUCCUGCUUCGGCUGCUUCUUCUAUAAAUCGAUCGAUAAAUAUUUGGCUCUCUCUGCGCGAAUACAGAAAGAGCAGCGGGUGACGCUUUUCUGAAACUCCGUCGUUUGAAUUGAAUCGAAGCCAGAUCCUAGUAGCAACAGUAAGCUGUAAGCGAAUGAUUUCAGAAUCUAUACGACAUCGCUUUAAUCCCUCGGCGUCGGCUACCGUCCGCCAGAGUAAGGCAAUAGCGGCUGAAGUGCAAUAGUAUUCUGUAUUUUAUGUCGUAUGAAC